AGUGAACGCUGGCGGUAGGCCUAACACAUGCAAGUCGAACGGCAGCACAGUAAGAGCUUGCUCUUACGGGUGGCGAGUGGCGGACGGGCGAGGAAUACAUCGGAAUCUACUUUUUCGUGGGGGAUAACGUAGGGAAACUUACGCUAAUACCGCAUACGACCUACGGGUGAAAGCAGUGGAUCUUCGGACCUUGCGCGAUUGAAUGAGCCGAUGUCGGAUUAGCUAGUUGGCGGGGUAAAGGCCCACCAAGGCGACGAUCCGUAGCUGGUCUGAGAGGAUGAUCAGCCACACUGGAACUGAGACACGGUCCAGACUCCUACGGGAGGCAGCAGUGGGGAAUAUUGGACAAUGGGCGCAAGCCUGAUCCAGCCAUACCGCGUGGGUGAAGAAGGCCUUCGGGUUGUAAAGCCCUUUUGUUGGGAAAGAAAAGCAGCAGGUUAAUACCCCGCUGUUCUGACGGUACCCAAAGAAUAGGCACCGGCUAACUUCGUG
rnacentral:rRNA from 1 species